AUGUUUUUAUUCAUUCAAUGUGAACGGUCAUCCCCAGAACCACGUACAAUAACCUGCCUCGGGGCGCGUCGCAAGGACCCAUCUGGGCUGAGAACGCCCAAACAGGGCCCAGGUGGCAGCCCUUCCUGGAGGUGGGACAGAAUGGCUUACAUCCAGAGAAGUCCCAGGGACCGGGCUUGCGGGGCAACUCGACGUGGCCGGGACAGCGCGCUCAACGGACCCAGGGCGGCUGGCCGUCCGUCCGCCCCGUCCGUCCCGUCCGCCCGGAAGCAGCGGCGCGGGCACGUGGGCCAGGCCCGGCGCCGACCCCGGGCACUCGGCCGCUCAGUCGGCGCCGCUGCGCCAAGCUGGGAGGCAGGGUCCGCGCGAGGGGCAGACCAGCGGGGCGGCGCGCCGACGAGGACAGGCCACGGGCGCGCCCCGCCCGCCAUCCCGGCCCCGGCCCGGCGCAGCGCGAGACAACGGCCGGCCCGGCUUUCGCAGUCCGCGGGGGACGGGGGCUCGCGGCGGGCGGCGGGGCGGCAGCGCCGCGCCUCACCUCGGCCCGGCCUCUGGGGAGGGACAUCCCGGCCGGCUGCGGACGACGGCGGCGGGCGGACGCUCCAUUCAUUACCGCGGCUGUCUGCCCCGCGCUGCCUCCCGCGGCCCGCCGCCCACGCCGCCGACGCCGCCGGACGCUGCGCCCCUCCCAGGGCCCCGCGCGGCGCGGGGCGGGGCUGGCCGGGGGCGGGGCCGACUUGGAGGCGGGGUCUACGCGCGCAGGCGCAAUGUCCGCGUACCCGCCCCGCCUCGUCCCUGGCCGGGUGGGAGGACGAAGCGGCUGAGGCACUACCGCUGGGGCGGGGCCGGGCGGAAGAUGCAGACACUGUGCGCGCUGCGGCUCCGCCUCCGGUUCUGGGUGGGCAAACUACGCAGGCGCAGUGCGAGCUCUGGCGCGGGGGGGCGACGGGCAGGGCCCAGGCUCCCUGGCGGGGCGGGGUGCGGCCGCCGCGGUUUGUUCCCGUGACUUGGCCGUUGGCGGCGGCUCGGCGUGCACUCAACGGCCCACCGCGGGUUUCCGGGACGACCGGCAGCGCGGGUCCCGGUCCCGCCCCGAAUCCCCUUACCUGGCGCGGAGGCCGCUCAGUGCGGUGCGGUCGGGUCCCGUGGGCUGGGACCUAA
rnacentral:lncRNA from 1 species